UACGAAGGGGGCUAGCGUUGUUCGGAAUCACUGGGCGUAAAGCGCACGUAGGCGGAUAUGUCAGUCAGGGGUGAAAUCCCGGGGCUCAACCUCGGAACUGCCUUUGAUACAGCAUAUCUUGAGUCCGAUAGAGGUGGGUGGAAUUCCUAGUGUAGAGGUGAAAUUCGUAGAUAUUAGGAAGAACACCGGUGGCGAAGGCGGCCCACUGGAUCGGUACUGACGCUGAGGUGCGAAAGCGUGGGGAGCAAACAGG
rnacentral:rRNA from 1 species